rnacentral:rRNA from 1 species
UACGUAGGGUGCAAGCGUUGUCCGGAAUUAUUGGGCGUAAAGAGCUCGUAGGCGGCUUGUUGCGUCGACUGUGAAAACCCGCGGCUCAACCGCGUGGCUUGCAGUCGAUACGGGCAGGCUAGAAUUCGGUAGGGGAGACUGGAAUUCCUGGUGUAGCGGUGAAAUGCGCAGAUAUCAGGAGGAACACCGGUGGCGAAGGCGGGUCUCUGGGCCGAUAUUGACGCUGAGGAGCGAAAGCGUGGGGAGCGAACAGG